GAUGAACGCUGGCGGCGUGCUUAACACAUGCAAGUCGAGCGAUGAAGUUUCCUUCGGGAAACGGAUUAGCGGCGGACGGGUGAGUAACACGUGGGUAACCUGCCUCAUAGAGUGGAAUAGCCUUCCGAAAGGAAGAUUAAUACCGCAUAAUGUUGAAAGAUGGCAUCAUCAUUCAACCAAAGGAGCAAUCCGCUAUGAGAUGGACCCGCGGCGCAUUAGCUAGUUGGUGGGGUAACGGCCUACCAAGGCGACGAUGCGUAGCYGACCUGAGAGGGUGAUCGGCCACAUUGGGACUGAGACACGGCCCAGACUCCUACGGGAGGCAGCAGUGGGGAAUAUUGCACAAUGGGGGAAACCCKGAUGCAGCAACGCCGCGUGAGUGAUGAAGGUUUUCGGAUCGUAAAGCUCUGUC
rnacentral:rRNA from 1 species